rnacentral:rRNA from 1 species
GACGAACGCUGGCGGCGUGCCUAAUACAUGCAAGUAGGACGCAGUUGCGAACGGGUGAGCAACGCGUAGGUAACUGCCUAUUAGAGGGGGAUAACUAUUGGAAACGAUAGCUAAUACCGCAUACUAGUAGCUGGACCUGCGUUGUAUUAGCUAGUUGGUGGGAUAAAGGCCUACAAAGGCGACGAUAAGUAGCGGGUCUGAGAGGACGAUCCGCGACACUGGGACUGAGAAACGGCCCAGACGCCUACGGGAGGCAGCAGUGGGGAAUUGGGGACAAUGGGGGCAACCCUGAUCCAGCCAUGCCUCGUGUAGGAAGAAGGCCUUCGGGUUGUAAAGUACUUUUGUUAGGGAAGCGGUACCUAAAGAAUAAGCACCGGCUAACUACGUGCCAGCAGCCGCGGUAAUAC